GUAAGGAAGGGGUGGAAGCGUAGCCGCUGGCUUUUUAUCCUGCCGGUGACUUACUUCCACACGGCGGAAAGAUUCAUAGUCUUCAAGCUGUUAGAUUCCAAAAGUUUCUGAGUCAUUAAGCCCAAAAUGAAAGACUUGUUCUAUCCAAAUCGGCUGUUUAUGUUGCUACUGUUGUCACUGACGGUAGCUCUGCCAAGGAAAGGAAGCCGAGAGGUAAGAGUUGAUUCCACUAACGGGUUUUUACCUACCUUCGCUAAGGACCAGUUGCGUCAUAGCCAAACAGAGGAGCACGGAAAUAUCGGACAAAGUUCUGGGCGAAAUAGGAUUGUCUCAACCAUAUCACACAGAAGUGGAGCCGCGGAUACCAGCCCAGCUAGGACCCAAAUAUUGACCGACCAUGGAAAUACUACUGCAGAUAUGUGGGGAAAAUACAUUUUCCGCCCUGCGUCUCUGACCGGCCUGAGAGAGCCAGUGUGCCGUAUCAAGUUGGGCACGGGCGGCAACUUAGACAACUAUCAUCUGGAAGUGGUGGGUUCUCUGAGCAAUUAUGAGAAUUUCUUCUUGGAGGCGGUGAAGCAGUCUCACUGGAGACUUGACGACUUGGCCACCUUUGGUAUUUGCCCUCAAGGAAAUGCAAAAAUAAUUCUCUCGUUGCGACGUUUGGGAGAAUGGCUUGCAGAGCCAGGUCAGCAACACCUCGUGGUGCUUCAUCUAGAGGAAGCAAUAUGGAAGUUGGACCUGGAGUUAAGGUUCCGGGAGCUACAAGAUGCAGGUGGUACUGCACUGUUAGGUGACCUGAAGCUGAUGUUGCUGGUAUUUUAUCCAGGACUGGAGAGUCAAAGGUUCAAAUCUGGCCAAGAGUUCAUGGUUUCUGGAGAUGGGCUGCAACAGGAGCAGAGUCUUUGCCUUUCCAGCAACACUCGCUUCCUAGUUCUUGGUGUAGAAGGGAAAUUCAGAGGUUGGCAGCUCCGAUCCAGACUUUCUUUGAUGCUUUGGCCCCUCGGCAAUGAUGGGCUGCGUCUAUCUACUUUGGAGCUCCAACCCUUACUAUUUGGUUCUGAUGACAAAUGCUUCACACGGAUGACUCCAGUGCUGUUUCUACUUCAGCAGCAGAAGCCACUUAGAGAAUUGCAGCCCACACCUAUUGAAGAGUGGCUAAAAAUAACAUCAAAUCCACUACCCAGCAGGCUUACUCCAGAACCCAAAGAAGUGCAUGGUACAACUGUGUCCCCUUCAACUCUCUCAGACCGUUUUCUGAAGGCCCUGGUGUAUUUGGUCCGCACUGUUCUGAACUCUCCAUUUGUUCUGCGUAACCCUACCAACCUGCAUCUAGAUCUGGAUUCCAAAGCCCUGAAGGGCCACCCUCAACAGUUCUUCAAUUUCUCAGAGCCAGCUGCCCUGAAACAACUGGUGGAAUCAGAGGAGCCACUCUUAUUGCAGCUCCCAGCUGGCAGUCUGGCACUGCUGGAAAAACAAGCAGAGCAGUGGCAGCCUAAGCAGGAACUAGUUCAGCAUCUUUCAUCCAAACUACAAGCAGUUGUAGCAGAUCUUUUGGAACUACCUGCCUUGAAGCCCCACAUAAUGCUUCUGCAGAGAUUGUUAGACUUCUGUCAGAUAGCCAAAAGCAGCAACAGGUCCCAGGAUCCUCCCUCCCAACUAUAUGCAUUGCUGCUGCUCAAAGUCCUUCAGAGCUUACGGGCUGAGUGGCAGGAGCGCUGGAAACUAUCUCGGGUACAGCGCAGUGUUGAGAAUGAGGAUCGGUGUAAGCUGCAAGAACUGACUGUGGACUUGCGCUUAGAGCAUUCAGUGCUAAUCCCUGAAACUUACAUGGCCAAUAAUUGUCAAGGCCUCUGCAAUUGGCCUCAAUCUGACCUCAACCCCAACUACAACAAUCAUGUGGUGUUACUACUCAAGAUGCAAGCACGUGGAGCGGAACUGACCCGUGGACCCUGUUGUGUGCCCAUCACCUAUGCAGAGAAGACUCUCAUUAGCCUCUCUGAAGAAGGCCUUAGUGCACGCCUCAUGCCUAAUAUGGUGGCUAUUCAGUGUGGCUGCCGUUAGGCCCCCUCUCCUACUCACCCAUUUAACACUGCCUCGAUUUUUACUGGACUCAACUUCUCUCUCCUCAUUUGGGUUUUCUUGUUUCCAGCAGUCAUGGGAUUUAUUCAAAAAGAAGUGGCAGAUCUUUAAUCAUCAACAUAAGCAGAAAUUUUUAUCAACUGUCUGACUUCAUAUUAGUCUUUAGAUUCAGGAGUCUAGACCAAACCUGAAAAGUUUUGAGGGCUCAGUCCCCAAAGCUAUAUUUUGGGUCUCACCUAUUAAGAAGAGAACUUCACGUUCUUGUUUCAUUACAGUCUGGAGCAUCAAAUAUGGGACUUUAAUUGCCUAUGGAGAGCCAGCACUCAAAUAAAACUGAAGUCAGAUUCCAGUAAGAUCCAGAAAGACUCGAACAAAGUCAGGAAUGAAGAUUUUGGCAAGACAAAAAUAUGCUUAGCUGAGAGAAGAAACAGAGGUUCAAAAGAUAGAUUUUGGAUGAGGUAACUGAGACACAGAGAAGUUAAGUGACUUGCCUACAGUCACACAGCUGACAAGUGGCAGAGAGAAUGAGCCUACCAUCUCUCC